rnacentral:rRNA from 1 species
UACGUAGGGGGCAAGCGUUGUCCGGAAUCAUUGGGCGUAAAGCGCGUGUAGGCGGCUCGGUAAGUCUGCUGUGAAAGUCCAGGGCUCAACCCUGGGAUGCCGGUGGAUACUGUCGAGCUCGAGUCCGGAAGAGGCGAGUGGAAUUCCUGGUGUAGCGGUGAAAUGCGCAGAUAUCAGGAAGAACACCAAUGGCGAAAGCAGCUCUCUGGGAACGGUACUGACGCUGAGACGCGAAAGCGUGGGGAGCGAACAGG